rnacentral:rRNA from 1 species
CAGCAGUGAGGAAUAUUGGUCAAUGGACGAGAGUCUGAACCAGCCAAGUAGCGUGAAGGAUGACUGCCCUAUGGGUUGUAAACUUCUUUUUCAGGGGAAUAAUAAUCGCCACGUGUGGCGUAUUGCAUGUACCCUGUGAAUAAGCAUCGGCUAAUUCCGUGCCAGCAGCCGCGGUAAUACGGAAGAUGCGAGCGUUAUCCGGAUUUAUUGGGUUUAAAGGGAGCGUAGGCGGGAGGUUAAGUCAGCUGUGAAACCCUGUGGCUCAACCAUAGGCGUGCAGUUGAUACUGUCCUUCUUGAGUGCGGCAGAGGCAGGCGGAAUUCGUGGUGUAGCGGUGAAAUGCUUAGAUAUCACGAAGAACUCCGAUUGCGAAGGCAGCCUGCUGGACCGUAACUGACGCUGAUGCUCGAAAGUGCGGGUAUCAAACAGGAUUAGA